AUUGAACGCUGGCGGCAUGCUUUACACAUGCAAGUCGAACGGUAACAGGCCGCAAGGUGCUGACGAGUGGCGAACGGGUGAGUAAUGCAUCGGAACGUGCCCAGUCGUGGGGGAUAACGCAGCGAAAGCUGCGCUAAUACCGCAUACGAUCUCUGGAUGAAAGCGGGGGACCGAAAGGCCUCGCGCGAUUGGAGCGGCCGAUGUCAGAUUAGGUAGUUGGUGGGGUAAAGGUCCACCAAGCCAACGAUCUGUAGCUGGUCUGAGAGGACGACCAGCCACACUGGGACUGAGACACGGCCCAGACUCCUACGGGAGGCAGCAGUGGGGAAUCUUGGACAAUGGGCGCAAGCCUGAUCCAGCAAUGCCGCGUGCAGGAUGAAGGCCUUCGGGUUGUAAACUGCUUUUGUACGGAACGAAACGGUGAGCUCUAAUACAGUUUGCUAAUGACGGUACCGUAAGAAUAAGCACCGGCUAACUACGUGCCAGCAGCCGCGGUAACAC
rnacentral:rRNA from 1 species